UGGGGAAUUUUGGACAAUGGGCGAAAGCCUGAUCCAGCAAUGCCGCGUGUGUGAAGAAGGCCUUCGGGUUGUAAAGCACUUUUGUCCGGAAAGAAAUCCUUGGCUCUAAUACAGUCGGGGGAUGACGGUACCGGAAGAAUAAGCACCGGCUAACUACGUGCCAGCAGCCGCGGUAAUACGUAGGGUGCAAGCGUUAAUCGGAAUUACUGGGCGUAAAGCGUGCGCAGGCGGUUUGCUGAGACCGAUGUGAAAUCCCCGGGCUCAACCUGGGAACUGCAUUGGUGACUGGCAGGCUAGAGUAUGGCAGAGGGGGGUAGAAUUCCACGUGUAGCAGUGAAAUGCGUAGAGAUGUGGAGGAAUACCGAUGGCGAAGGCAGCCCCCUGGGCCAAUACUGACGCUCAUGCACGAAAGCGUGGGGAGCAAACAGGAUUAGAUACCCUGGUAGUCCACGCCCUAAACGAUGUCAACUAGUUGUUGGGGAUUCAUUUCCUUAGUAACGUAGCUAACGCGUGAAGUUGACCGCCUGGGGAGUACGGUCGCAAGAUUAAAACUCAAAUGAAUUGACGGGGUCAUAGCUGUUUCCU
rnacentral:rRNA from 1 species